rnacentral:rRNA from 1 species
CUGGUCUGACUUGAAGCUGCAGGCAGAGCCUCACAGCAUGCAAUAUCGAACGGUUAUCGAGGAAGCAGCGUUGCUGCUUAGCUGACGAGUGGCGGAUAGCAUGAAUAAUAUCUGGGCAAACUGCUUGAUGGUAGGCGAGAUAGACUAUCUGGAAACAGUACGCUAAUACCUGCAUCAGACGUCGCAUAGAUCCAAAGAGGGAGAGACGCUUCUGGGCCUGCUUGCCCAUCGGAUGUGUCCCACGAUGGGAUUAGCUAGUAGGUGGGGUAACGGCCUCACCAUAGGCGACGAUGCACUAGCUGAGUCUGAGAGGAUGAUCCAGCCACACUGGAACUGAGACACGGUCCAGACUCUUACGGGAGGCAGCAGUGGGGAAUAUUGCACAAUGGGCGCAAGCCUGAUGCAGCCAUGCCGCGUGUAUGAAGAAGGCUUUCGGUUUGUAAAGUACUUUCAGCGGGGAGGAAGGCGAUAAGGUUAAUAACCUUGUCGAUUGACGUUACCCGCAGAAGAAGCACCGGCUAAUUCCGUGCCAGCAGCCGCGGUAAUACGGAGGGUGCAAGCGUUUAUCGGAAUUACUGGGCGUAAAGCGCACGCGGGCGGUUUGUCAAUUUGGAUGUGAAAUCCCCGGGUUCAACCUGGGAACUGCAUUGGAAACUGGCAGGCUAGAGUCUUGUAGAGGGGGGUAGAAUUCCAGGUGUAGCGGUGAAAUGGGUAGAGAUCUGGAGGAAUACCGGUGGCGAAGGCGGCCCCCUGGACAAAGACUGACGCUCAGGUGCGAAAGCGUGGGGAGCAAACAGGAUUAGAUACCCUGGUAGUCCACGCCGUAAACGAUGUCGAUUUGGAGGUUGUGCCCCUGAGCGCGUGGCUCCGGAGCUAACGCGUAAGUCGACCGCUGGAGAGC